CCCGCGUCCGGUGCGUAUGUGCCAGGCCCUGCGCUCGGUGCCUCGGGGCCCGCGGUGAAGAACACGGGGACAUCUCCUGUUCCUGCCAAACCUCUCCAGAGUGGGCUUCAUGCAGAGCCAGCGCGUGGCCGCCUGGCUGAGGCCGGAAGGGCAGGGGAGUCGCUGCCUUAGAUGCAGACGCUACAGGCUUGUGACGCUGGGCGAGCACGCCACCCCUGCCCCUUUCCGGGAACACGUCGUGGCCGACAGAGCAGCGUCACCCAGGAGAGCUGUACUGGGAGCCACACAUGCAGGCCUCGUUGGUGACUUUCAAACAGGAGAAGAAGCAGACUGUUCAUUCUGUAAACAUCCUUGGAAAGCUGGUGGAGAGCAAAAUCUAGAACAAGAGCAGUCAGCAGCAGGGCAGGGGCCCCACAGAGAGCUGUCCCCCGAUAAAAGCGCCAUGUGACGUGUAAGUACCGGGCGUCCAUCUGGUGUUCUCGAUGCACUGAUGCUGACAAUUGUCCCCUGUGAGGGGAGGGGCCGAGACGACCCCACUGUGUUGCUUAUGCGGAAGGGGAGCUGGGGCAGGAAGAGGUGAAGUAGUUGCCCCAGGCCGCCUGGCUACUUGGUGAAUGGCCGAGUCUAACCCUGAGAAAUCUGGACUCCGGGCCACUGGCAGCAUGAUCUCUGAUGUCACUCGAGCCCCGUUCAUCCCCACGACAACCUACAAGUUACAGCGCCGGGAGCACUCAGCAGUCGCUGCCCUUGGAAACUUCGGAAGCUUCCGAGGCGGAGCGCCUUUGAGAACGGGUGAGACGUGUGCUGAGUAACCGGGCUUCGUCCCGGUCGUCGUGCUGCAGGGGUGGCAGAAGGCUGCAAGGGCGCUCAGGACCCCCAGGAGCAAUCCGGACCUGGAGCCGCGCGGGCGGGGGGGCUGAGCCGGGCUGCGGGACGGGGGGCUGGUGGUCAGCCAGCCGCACUCGUGCCGGCACGGCCGCUGCUGCUCUGCCCCCCAAGGAUCCGUACCCGAGGGGCAAUUGCUCUGCAGUGAAGGUGGCCAGGCUCGAGAGGUCGAGUGGUCUGGCCUGAGGUCUGUCUCCGUGCUUCAACAGGCGUCGGGCAAGGGGCUCUCGCCCGGGCAGGGCUCUGGCUGCGCCCCUGCUGGGAGCGGGGUGCCUGCAGGAGCCCCAGGUCCUGCCCCGUCUCCUCCGGGGCUUGUGCUCGGCCUGGCCUCUUCUCCAGGCCACAGCAUGACUGCUGAUGAACUCUGAUUGAAGAGGGCUUUGCUAAGCUCUCCGCGUGCAUUAUUUUAUCUGAUCCUCGUGAAACCCUCUCCAUGACAACAUGCUGGAGUCACACAGUAAGUGACAAGACGCCUAUUCGCCCAAGGCCCCACUGGCUCUAAGGCCCGUAUAUGCUUUUAACGAAAGGUUUGUGGUUAUCUGCGUAUUUUCACAGAUCAAGUCCGGGUCCAGCAGCAGAAUCCCUUAAGAGCCUUUCUUUCGUGCUGGCCCAUUGCAGCAAAGUACCUCAACCCGGAUCUUAGAUGAGUAGGUCUGGGGGUUCUGUUUGCGGGAAAAGCUGCCAGCCCUCCCCGCAGCCCCGAGGGAUCAGAUGAUCUGGACCAGCUCGCUCCUCGGCAUGAGCCGACGCUGCCCUCUAGUGUCUGAACACCGGUGGGACACCUCCUGUAAGGAUGCUCUGGACGGCGGCCCCCGCCAUCCCUGGAACCACAGAACAGAGCCCACACCUCGGAGCCCUGAGCAGUGGGCCACUUCCCAGCGUCUGCCCACACAGACAGCCAGGCGCUGCCUGCAAAUCCCAAGCAUGCCUGGCCUGAGCGGGGCUGCCAGCACCCUCCAGCAGGCUCUGCUCUACGGAAGGGCUUUUUUCUCUGGUGGGGAUUUUGGGACACCCUUUGCCACAGUCGGUCAUCCCUGAAGGCGUUUAUCUCAACGGCCAAGGGCCAGUGUUGAUAUUUGGCUGGGAUGCCAACUCGGAUUCCAUGACCCUCAAAUGUUCUGUAUUUCCUAGUCUCUCCCAAGUGACCAUCCCUUUAGAAACCAAGGAUAUUUCCAAAGACAUGAGUCUGAGCACUAAGAAACACAGCCGCUCCUUGUGUGAGGCUUUUGGAGAAUGCACAAAAAGCAGAGAUGCCUCUAAUGAUUUUUAGCCUUUGAAGAAGUGUCAGAGGAAGGCUCUGAGGUCAACUUGACCCUCAGGUAUAAACCGGGUGGGUGAGAGGUGAGAUAUCCCAAGGCACCCAGCCCAGGUCAAUCUAGCACUGAUGGUUGCCAGGUAGGCAUAGGGUCAAAGGGCAGAGAGCCAAUCUCUUGAGCACACACCCUCUCCGGGUGAUUCUUGAUAUCCCUGAAGGCCCUGACCUCAGGCAUUUGCAAGUUAUAAAAAUUCCUGGAUGCCUUGAGAGCACACGAUUCUCCCUGUAAAUGCAGCAGCAUAUAAUGAACAAUGGAAUUGCCCGUGUCCCAGUCAGAAGCUUUGUCACUGUCAUGCUGUGUUAACAAGCAAACAAGAACAUUUCAAGAACAUACACAGUAAGCACUGGUUUCUCACUCACACUUCUGUGGGUCAGCUGAGAUGACCCUAUUUCAAGCUACAGGUCUUUGGAUUGACUGGGGUAAGAAUGCCAUUCAUUUUUCCAGAAUGAGGGGCUGCUGGGGUGUAUCUUCGUGGCAAUGGGAGUAAGCCAAACAUCACAUCCUGUGGACCCCAGUGUGCCUUUGAACUAAUUGGUGGGUGGAACACACAGAGCUGUGUGGAGGCCCACGCUGGGCUGGUUCCCUAGUCAGUGAUGUACUGAGACCCACCAGCUUCAAACCGGAGGAUUUAUGUGCAGCCUCAGAAAAAUGACCAAUUGCCACUUUUCAUAAAUAUCACUCAAGAACAGACAAAACUGUGUAACCAACUUGGCAAAGGCUGAGGAGUGGCCCAACUUCCUAGGACUGGGAGUCUCCACCCAGGCAGGCGCUCGCUGUUGCCAUUGUGGGGUUGCCUGUGGAGACGGCCGCUCGGUGGGAAUCCUGGUUCUGAUCCCAGAGAUCACUCGAAGCAAGUGGCCCAGCGGAGAUUCUUCGAUAAGCCAUGAGCAAGGCAUAUUGAAGAAACCUGCCCCAGACAACCACCUGUUAUUUUCAUAAGAAGAUGUUUUCUCUCUAUUGCAUGUGAUGGCAGGAUCUAGGCAAUGAUUCUGUGACUUGAAACGUCUCUGGAUAAAGAAAAAAAGGAACCCCUUCACAGACACCAUCCAUCGGAGGUACCCAAACUUAAUAAAGAUGAUCUAUUGUAAAUGAAAUAAAUUCUGCAAACUUUAGCUUGUUAUCCUUCAUAGUACAAUCUUAUGUAUGUGGAUUGUAUCUGAACCAGAUAUGAUAUGGGCAUGAUUAUAACUUCGACAGGGGACCCUCUGAGAGUAACAGACAUUUAUAAUAAAGAGAGUCAUUUUAAAAUA